UGCAAGUGAUGUUUUUUCUCACGAUGGUCUGCUGAACCCCAUGGUGAAGGGGCUGUGAUGAAACUGCCCUGUGGCUUAACUGAUGCUGCUUG